GACGAACGCUGGCGGCGUGCUUAACACAUGCAAGUCGUACGGUAAGGCCCUUUCGGGGGUCCACGAGUGGCGAACGGGUGAGUAACACGUGAGUAACCUGCCCACAACUUUGGGAUAACGCUAGGAAACUGGUGCUAAUACUGGAUAAGUGCUCCUGCUGCAUGGUGGGGGUUGGAAAGCUCCGGCGGUUGUGGAUGGAAUCGCGGCCUAUCAGCUUGUUGGUGGGGUAGUGGCCUACCAAGGCGGCGACGGGUAGCCGGACUGAGAGGGUGACCGGCCACAGUGGGACUGAGAUACGGCCCCGGCUCAUACGGGAGGGAGCAGUGGGGAAUGUUGCUAAAGGGGAGCGAGCCUGAUGCAGCAACGCCGCGGGCGGGAUGACGAACUUCGGGUUGGAAACCGCUUUCAGCGGGGACGAAGCUUUUUGUGACGGUACCUGCAGAAGAAGCACCGGCUAACUACGUG
rnacentral:rRNA from 1 species